rnacentral:rRNA from 1 species
UGGGGAAUAUUGCACAAUGGGCGCAAGCCUGAUGCAGCCAUGCCGCGUGUGUGAAGAAGGCCUUCGGGUUGUAAAGCACUUUCAGCGAGGAGGAAGGGUAGUGUGUUAAUAGCACAUUGCAUUGACGUUACUCGCAGAAGAAGCACCGGCUAACUCCGUGCCAGCAGCCGCGGUAAUACGGAGGGUGCAAGCGUUAAUCGGAAUUACUGGGCGUAAAGCGCACGCAGGCGGUUUGUUAAUUCAGAUGUGAAAUCCCCGCGCUUAACGUGGGAACUGCAUUUGAAACUGGCAAGCUAGAGUCUUGUAGAGGGGGGUAGAAUUCCAGGUGUAGCGGUGAAAUGCGUAGAGAUCUGGAGGAAUACCGGUGGCGAAGGCGGCCCCCUGGACAAAGACUGACGCUCAGGUGCGAAAGCGUGGGGAGCAAACA